GGGGAAUAUUGCACAAUGGAGGAAACUCUGAUGCAGCGAUGCCGCGUGAGGGAAGAAGGUUUUAGGAUUGUAAACCUCUGUCUUCGGGGACGAAAAAAAGACGGUACCUGAGGAGGAAGCUCCGGCUAACUACGUGCCAGCAGCCGCGGUAAUACGUAGGGAGCGAGCGUUGUCCGGAAUUACUGGGUGUAAAGGGAGCGUAGGCGGGAUCGCAAGUCAGAUGUGAAAACUAUGGGCUUAACCCAUAAACUGCAUUUGAAACUGUGGUUCUUGAGUGAAGUAGAGGUAAGCGGAAUUCCUAGUGUAGCGGUGAAAUGCGUAGAUAUUAGGAGGAACAUCAGUGGCGAAGGCGGCUUACUGGGCUUUAACUGACGCUGAGGCUCGAAAGCGUGGGGAGCAAACAGGAUUAGAUACCCUGGUAGUCCACGCCGUAAACGAUGAUUACUAGGUGUGGGGGGACUGACCCCUUCCGUGCCGCAGCAAACGCAAUAAGUAAUCCACCUGGGGAGUACGACCGCAAGGUUGAAACUCAAAGGAAUUGACGGGGGCCCGCACAAGCAGUGGAGUAUGUGGAUUAAUUCGAAGCAACGCGAAGAACCUUACCAGGUCUUGACAUCGUAUGCAUAGCUCAGAGAUGAGUGAAAUCUCUUCGGAGACAUAUAGACAGGUGGUGCAUGGUUGUCGUCAGCUCGUGUCGUGAGAUGUUGGGUUAAGUCCCGCAACGAGCGCAACCCUUACUGUUAGUUGCUACGCAAGAGCACUCUAGCAGGACUGCCGUUGACAAAACGGAGGAAGGUGGGGAUGACGUCAAAUCAUCAUGCCCCUUAUGACCUGGGCCUCACACGUACUACAAUGGCUGUCAACAGAGGGAUGCAAAGCCGCGAGGUGGAGCGAACCCCUAAAAGCAGUCUUAGUUCGGAUUGUAGGCUGCAACCCGCCUACAUGAAGUCGGAAUUGCUAGUAAUCGCAGAUCAGCAUGCUGCGGUGAAUACGUUCCCG
rnacentral:rRNA from 1 species